UUAUCUUAUUAGUGUGGUUUCAUUUUAUUUUGCUUAGCCGUAAUUUCUAUAAUGAGUUGAUUAUGUGAUAAGACAUCAGCAAUAAUAUUUGUUAAGAAAAAAAGUGUGCCCAUGGUCAGUGGGCUCCUUUGCUGUUUGUUGAUUGAAAAUUUCCCUUCCAGGGCCUUCAUGGAAACUGCUCUGGUGUCACAGAAAUAUAUCCAAGGAUGGAGGUAAAUCCCAUGUGCAAAUACUGUCAAAACAGUGCCUCUCCUGACACCAAAACAAAAACGUGAGAAUUUCAGUGAAAUAGUCAUGCAUUGAGUAAAGUACAAAAAAUCUGAAAGUUUUAAUAAACUCAAAUAUAUCUUUCAGAAACCAGUAUACAAAUGAUUUCUCAUUUACCUUUUUAAAUACAACUAAAUACACACAAAAUCUAAGCAACAUUUAGCAUUUUCACUCUAAAACUUGGAGACCUCAUCUUUUAUCUAACCUCUCUUUUUUCCAGUACAGCGUCAUUACCAUGGAGUUUCAUUGUGUACGUGUACAAGCUCGUCUGAAAAGAGUUGGCUUGUAAAUGGGAGAAGCUGUCCAAGAAGUAUUCUCACAAUGAAAUAAUCAUUUUAUUUUGUCCAUACCGACAAACAACCAGUCAAUUCAGCUGGAGGAAAAAACAAACAAACAAACAAACAUUUUAUUUUCCAAAUUUGUAAUGAGUUCGCUUAAUUAUUUUUGGUUUAUUGUGUUAUCUACAUAGUUGAAUCUUAAAUCUGAAUUUUCAUAACCUAAGGAAGGAGUCCCACUGAGUGAUGUUUUAUGUUACAAUCAUUUUACUGUAAUCAAUAUUUAAGCGUAUGGUAAAGGCAGCUAAUAUUGUGUCAUAAACACUUCAAGUGAGUCACAGAACUCAUUUCACCUGGAGGCUAUGGAAGAGCCCUGGGCUUCCGCAUUCCCUCCCUGACUCCUACUAUGUCCACCUUUAAUAGUUUUGUAUGUGUCACUCCCUAAAACAACAACAACAAAAAUGCAACUUGAAAACCACAGAUCCAUUCUAGCCUUUUACUCAGUUCACCCCUGUACAGCAUUGCACAAAGACAUGGAAACCAGCACAGAUGACAUUUGGAGACUACCAACCUUGGCUACUUGCCUUCAAGGAGCAUUUAUGUCAUUUAAAAAGUUGCUGUACUUUAGCUUAGUGGCAGCCUUCUUUCCACCAUUUUAGUAUCUGCCAUCGAUUUUUCCAUAAAAAACUGAGUGCCAGAUCUUGGCUUUUCUUGACUGUUUAAGCUCGAUAUCAGGAAGAAAAUGAGGACUAACAAUGCUUGUUCCAUCUGUUUCCAUUUUGUCAUGAAAAUCAAAGGAGGUAGUGGAUGUGAAAUUUUACUGAUUACAUAUAUAGGAUCCAAAUAACAUGCAGUGACAAACCUCCUGCAUAUGGCUGAAUGCUAAGCCACCAGCUACUCCUGCCCUCACAUCUCACAACUUUGCUGCAAGAAAAAACAAAACAGAACAUCUUGGCUAAAACUGCCCACCUCCUUACCCCAAGCUUGAUGCCAGCUGAAGAGUCCCAGGAGACCAGUUGGCUUAGCCCGGGUCAGAGGCCCUGGAUGGGAGUGGAUGAUUGGUAGCCAUCAUUUGCACCUGAUGGUUAGAGUGUGAGAGAAGCAGUCUUCCUGAAGAAGAGAGGUGGUGUCCUCAGAAAAGAGGAAGGGUACAAGGUUGUGAAAGCAAUAAAUGCUCACGCAAAAGAGGGUUGACCCAAGGUCUGGCCUUCUUCUUGCCACUCUCUAGUGAGGGAGCCCUUAGGAAAUUGAUUAUGCUCUCUGUCAAGCGGCAAAAAUAAAACCUGCCCCUGCCUUA